AUGGUGACGUAUCUCCUUGCACUGCAGUUCCCAGAAGAAAAGGCAGGUGCUGUACUGCAAAUCCCACUUGAAAUGCACGGGGCUUCAGUAUUUGGAAACAUGCCUAUACCUAGGAGAAGGUGGAAUAACAUAUUUGGAGAAUAUGAAUGCUCCAGAUACUACAUCUGAAAGAAAUGAUUGCCAAAGUGCUCAAGAGAGGAAAUCUCCAGACUUAUCCAGAUUUCAGCAGAGCACAGACACGGUGAAAUCACCAUUCAGCAGAGCAGGGAGAAGCAACCUCAAACCAGCCCUUCCUUCCGAGAUGUGACCUCCCAAGCCACGUAGCAAUGAGGUCGGUGCUGAACUUCACCUAAAGUUUGGUGCCUCUGUGCCAUGCAAUUUCAUGUCAUAUCUGUUGGCUUUGUGAAGACUAAACAGAUGUCUCCCACACUGAGCUUUUCAUAUAAUUUAAUCCAUUCAUUUUCAUAUAAUUUAAUCCAUUCAGGAUGAGUUGAUGUUGCAAAAGGCAGCGUUUGGUGGAAACUCGUGAGUCUUGCAGUGCCCCUCGCAGUGUGCUCACCCACUGACCUUUCAGUAGAUGACUUGCUGAAGACAAAGUAAUGCUUUCUGUGUGACUAGGAAUUUUCUGUUUGGUUUUUAAUACCCAUUAGCUAAAAGCAAAAUGGCCUUCACUAAAAAGUCAAAAGGGGAGACUGCAAUUGAUUUAAUACUUAUAUUAAUUUAUAUCCAGAUGCCUUACUCUAUUUGCAAUUGUGUCAGCUCAUAGAAACUGUGUAAAAGGAAGCACCUCUUCCCAAAUAUCAUGUUUCUUUUUGAAUAACAUAUUCACAGAGCUCUUCGCAGGAGAGUAUUUGCAAUAGAUACAGUCUUUCUUGCAGUACGCUGCUGGCAUUGAGCAGCUAAUGCACGCUGCUUUAGUGUGCGAAAUGGGAAGGCAGACUCACUUGACGACUGCUGGUUUGCACCAUUUUAUUGCAAAUACUGAGACAGCCAACGUGCUCUUCCUUCACCAAAUUCGGGUUCUGCGUGUGGGCUGGGCAGUGCUGGUGGCCAUGGGACCGUUCAUCUAAGCAUAUCUGAUAGUCACUGCUUGUACUCUGAAAUGAAAUAUUCCUUGCCUUUUAAACAAAUAGCACACCGCCCACUACUACAUGACUAGGCAAAGGGGACAGAUGUUGUAUUACAAUGCGAGUCAGAAAGGAUUUAAAUAAUGCAGC
rnacentral:lncRNA from 1 species